rnacentral:lncRNA from 1 species
UUUGAAAAAAUGCUUUAAUAAAAGUGUGAGUUAUAUGUAUGAGAAAAUGACUACAAAACUUCUAUGACAUAUGCUUCAAAAUUUUAGUUCUUUGUAUAGAUUGCUUGAUUAACUGCACAUGAACAGAUUUGCUCAUGUGCAUCAUGUGUUUGAGAAAAUUCUUAAAAGUGUGUGUGGUGUGUUUGAAAUCUACAAGAUGCUUUUGAAUUUUGAUACGGGUCAAUAUGUCUCUUCCAGUGAUGAUAUUCAUGUUUUAAUAAGAGAUAAACUAUUGCUGAAUUGUUAAAGGUAAGCAAAAUUUUCAUUCAUGUGAAAUAGAUAGUUUAAAUCAUGUUUUAUAUCAAAUAAAUUUGAUUAACUUUUACAGUAAUAUGCAGGAUAAACUAUAUCAUGAUUCAGUUUCUCAUAUUUAAGUCAUUUAAUUUUGAAUGUAAGUGGACUUGGAAGUGGAAGUGGAAGCCAAGUUUUGAAUAAAAGUCAAAUUGGGAGGGCAAGUCAAUGUCAAAGUUUAUUUAUGUUCAUAGUUGAAGUCACAAUGUAACUAAAAUUAAGACAGAUUGAAAAAUGAAGUGUCGUGUAGAACCUUUUUUGGGUCUAUGAUGUAAAUUACUAUAUAUAAAUAGGUUUUGGCAAAG